rnacentral:rRNA from 1 species
GAUGAACGCUGGCGGCGUGCCUAAUACAUGCAAGUCGAGCGAACAGACGAGGAGCUUGCUCCUCUGACGUUAGCGGCGGACGGGUGAGUAACACGUGGAUAACCUACCUAUAAGACUGGGAUAACUUCGGGAAACCGGAGCUAAUACCGGAUAAUAUAUUGAACCGCAUGGUUCAAUAGUGAAAGACGGUUUUGCUGUCACUUAUAGAUGGAUCCGCGCCGCACUAGCUAGUUGGUAAGGUAACGGCUUACCAAGGCAACGAUGCGUAGCCGACCUGAGAGGGUGAUCGGCCACACUGGAACUGAGACACGGUCCAGACUCCUACGGGAGGCAGCAGUAGGGAAUCUUCCGCAAUGGGCGAAAGCCUGACGGAGCAACGCCGCGUGAGUGAUGAAGGUCUUCGGAUCGUAAAACUCUGUUAUUAGGGAAGAACAAAUGUGUAAGUAACUAUGCACGUCUUGACGGUACCUAAGCAGAAAGCCACGGCUAACUACGU